ACUGCACACUAGUAGAGCUUGGAGUUGAGGCCACUGGCUGGCCGAUGAACUCUCAAGUGUAGGUGGUAUGCUACAUGAGGGGCAAGUCUUUUUGCGAACACCACAGGGUCUCUGGCCCAAUAAGUGGAGUUUGGUAGUAAUUCUUGCUAUAAGU
rnacentral:snoRNA from 1 species